rnacentral:rRNA from 1 species
GAUGAACGCUAGCUACAGGCUUAACACAUGCAAGUCGAACGGAGUGCCCAUGACGGAGUUUUCGGACAACUGAUUGGGUUACUUAGUGGCGGACGGGUGAGUAACGCGUGAGUAACCUGCCUUGGAGUGGGGAAUAACAGUCGGAAACGACCGCUAAUACCGCAUGAUGCAUUUGGGCUGCAUGGCUCUGAAUGCCAAAGAUUUAUCGCUCUGAGAUGGACUCGCGUCUGAUUAGCUAGUUGGUGAGGUAACGGCUCACCAAGGCGACGAUCGGUAGCCGGACUGAGAGGUUGAUCGGCCACAUUGGGACUGAGACACGGCCCAG